AGAUUUACAGCGAAAGAUAAACAUCUAUCUAUAUAUAUAAAGUAGAAAUUUUCUCUUCUUUUGACAUGUAGAAGAUGGGUUUGAUACAUGUGUCCUCGUAUUUUUCUUUUUUUUUUACAUUUUAGAUCCUUCUUCUUUUAAAUUAUUGCAACUAACCCCAUCACAUAAAGUUUAAUAUUUUAUUUUAUUGGUCAUUAAAAUACAUGAUGAAUAAA
rnacentral:lncRNA from 1 species